rnacentral:lncRNA from 10 species
AGGAGGAGGUCCUCUGAGCCCUGAGGCAGAGAUCUCUCACCUGGAAGAUGGGUCUAAUGACUGCGCCCCACACACACCAGAGAGGACUGCAGAUAGUGCGGGAUGAGAGGAAGAUCUCUGGCCCUGGAGACAGCAUCAUCAAGCGAAAACGUAUGAGGAAGAAAAUAGCAGAUGAGAAGAAUCAACCAAAUUCCGGAAGCUGGAAGGCAGAUGGAAGAAGGCCCUUGAAUGAUGCCAGCACCUUGAUAUUGGACUUUCCAGCCUCCAGAACCAUGAGCCAAUACAUUUCUGUUCCAUAAAAAUUACCCAGUUCCAGGUAUUCUGCUAUAGCAGCACAAAAUGGACUAAAACAAUGUUGGCACAAGACUCAGUGCUGGGCCUGGCAUGCAACAGGUCCUUGGAGUGGCGUGCUGUGUGGAUAAUGAAUAUUGGGGAAGGCAUCUCUCUCCAGCCCCUCUCAAGCUUUCUGUAGUCACUGGUCCACUCUGUAUUGCUAUGAAGAAGCUCAAGACCAGCCUGUAUCACUCGGGGUCCUGGCAGGAACCAGGUGCCACACUCAAACUGAGUAAUUGAAGAGGGUUUAAUAUGGGAGUUAUUUACAUAGGUGUGGGCUGGUGUAGCUGCCCAUAUGCCCUCAAAAUCACCUCUACAUGGCAAUAGCUACUUACUGCUAACAGAGUCUCUCUCUCAUUGCUGCAAAUAUUUUCUAGCCAUGCAAGAAACUCAGCCGGUCAUGUUGAACAAACUAAGAGUGCCAGGAAGUUAAUGUCCUGGAAGCAUUGCCAGAGGGGAGGGGGCAGUUAGAUUCCCCAGCUUCCUCGCUCCUCUGCUGGGUUAAGCCUGCAACAUAUUCAUCAUCUCCCAGAGUGCUGCCCAGGGAUAGAGCUCCAGGUGCUCAGUGUGGUGACCUGCUCAUGUCAGCUUCUUCCCCUUUCCUGUCUUGUUUCGCACCCACAUCCUUCCCAUGUUUCCUCUUCCCAAAUAAACUACUUGCAUUGAAA